rnacentral:rRNA from 1 species
UACGGAGGGUGCAAGCGUUAUCCGGAUUCACUGGGUUUAAAGGGUGCGUAGGUGGGUUGGUAAGUCAGUGGUGAAAUCUCUAGGCUUAACCUGGAAAUUGCCGUUGAUACUAUAUAUCUUGAAUGCUGUGGAGGUAAGCGGAAUAUGUCAUGUAGCGGUGAAAUGCUUAGAUAUGACAUAGAACACCUAUUGCGAAGGCAGCUUACUACGCAGAUAUUGACGCUCAUGCACGAAAGCGUGGGGAUCAAACAGG